GAUGAACGCUGGCGGCGUGCCUAAUACAUGCAAGUCGAGCGAACAGAUGAGGAGCUUGCUCCUUUGACGUUAGCGGCGGACGGGUGAGUAACACGUGGGUAACCUACCUAUAAGACUGGGAUAACUUCGGGAAACCGGAGCUAAUACCGGAUAACAUUUCGAACCGCAUGGUUCUAAAGUGAAAGAUGGUUUUGCUAUCACUUAUAGAUGGACCCGCGCCGUAUUAGCUAGUUGGUAAGGUAACGGCUUACCAAGGCAACGAUACGUAGCCGACCUGAGAGGGUGAUCGGCCACACUGGAACUGAGACACGGUCCAGACUCCUACGGGAGGCAGCAGUAGGGAAUCUUCCGCAAUGGGCGAAAGCCUGACGGAGCAACGCCGCGUGAGUGAUGAAGGUCUUCGGAUCGUAAAACUCUGUUAUUAGGGAAGAAUAAAUGUGUAAGUAACUGUGCACGUCUUGACGGUACCUAAUCAGAAAGCCACGGCUAACUACGUG
rnacentral:rRNA from 1 species